GGAUGGAUGUCUGAGCGGUUGAAAGAAUCGGUCUUGAAAACCGAAGUAUUGAUAGGAAUACCGGGGGUUCGAAUCCCUCUCCAUCCG
rnacentral:tRNA from 1 species